CCGUUUUUGUGUUAUUCGCUGUUUGUUUUAUUCAAAAUCAGUGAUUGUCUAACAGAACGUAAAUUAGAUUCCAGGCAGCUAAUCACUCCAUAAUGUUUAUCCUAAUUCAUCCAGGGAUUCUGCAUUACUAAAUGCAUGCUACAUGC